rnacentral:lncRNA from 12 species
CUUACCACAUGCAAAACUGAACUCCUGAUCUUCUUCCCCAAACCUGUUGUUCCUAUAAUCUUCCUUCUAUUAGGAAGUGGUAACUCCAUCAUCCUAGUCAUGUCAACUGAAGCAAUCAUUUAACCUUUCUGAAUUUCAGUUUCUUCAUUUAUAAAGUGAUCAUUGCACCCAUCUCAAAGUCAGUGUGAAGAUCAAAUGGGAUAAUAUGAUGUAAAUGCUUCUCAGAGUACCUGCCACAGUUAGCAUUCCAUAAGGAUGAUUCAAGUAUGGCCUUGCAGUUCUUUCAUCCUAAUGUCUUUUACAUCCAUCUUUUCUUUCUUUCUCUUUUAGAUCCCAAUUAUCUUAUCCUGAGACCAUGACAAAAGUUUCUUAACUGGUAGCCUUGGCUUAGUAGUAAAGUAGUAGUCAUAGAUAAUAUGAUUCUCUCCAUUUAAAGAUAAAGAAAAUGAAAAUCAUCCAAAUAUGACCUAGAUCUCUCAGCUUAGAAAGCAACUAAGUGAAACCCAGGCCAAGUAAAAAGCCAGUUUUCUGUAUUCUCUAGUAUUUACCAGUUUCAUCCUCUGGAAUGCAGCUUUUACUCUGCUUAUUGCCAGGUGAAGAGCAGAACCUAAGAGGAUAAUAUGAUAACCAAAGAAGGCAACUGAAAAAUGGAAAACAAGAGAAGGUGUUCCUAAACUGGAGAGGUCAGUGUUUUAAGUUGGCGAGGUAUCCAUGAGGUUUUCAACUGGGUCCACUUCUACCAUGAUCUCCUUUCUCCUGGCCGUUUCUUUAAAGGGCCUUGUGACAGCCCUUUAUUUGUGAGGCUCUGCACUUGCGGAUGGAGUCGCAUAUGGAAUGAGGGAAACGGCACAUUUGACAAAUGGGAAUCAUGAUUGUCUGGCCUCCUGACAGGUGUUGAUGUGUUCUCCUGACCUGUAAAUGUUGCAGCUGACUGAUUACAGUAAUUGAUUGAGAAAA